rnacentral:rRNA from 1 species
GAUGAACGCUGGCGGCGUGCCUAAUACAUGCAAGUCGAGCGCACAGACGAGAAGCUUGCUUUUCUGAUGUUAGCGGCGAACGGGUGAGUAACACGUGGAUAACCUACCUAUAAGACUGGGAUAACUUCGGGAAACCGGAGCUAAUACCGCAUAAUAUUUUGAACCGCAUGGUUCAAAAGUGAAAGACGCUCUUGCUGUCCUAUAAAAAUGGAUCCGCGUGUCAUUAGUUAGUUGGUAAGGUAACGGCUUACCAAGGGAACGAUGCAUAGCCGACCUGAGAGGGUGAUCGGCCACACUGGAACUGAGACACGGUCCAGACUCCUACGGGAGGCAGCGGUAGGGAAUCUUCCGCAUUGGGCGAAAGCCGGACGGGGCAACGCCGCGUGAGUGAUGAAGGUCUUCGGAUCGUAAAACUCUGUUAUUAGGGAAGAACAUAUGUGUAAGUAACUGUGCACAUCUUGACGGUACCUAAUCAGAAAGCCACGGCUAACUACGUG